rnacentral:rRNA from 1 species
UGGGGAAUAUUGGACAAUGGGCGCAAGCCUGAUCCAGCCAUGCCGCGUGAGUGAUGAUGGCCCUAGGGUUGUAAAGCUCUUUCACCGGUGAAGAUAAUGACGGUAACCGGAGAAGAAGCCCCGGCUAACUUCGUGCCAGCAGCCGCGGUAAUACGAAGGGGGCUAGCGUUGUUCGGAUUUACUGGGCGUAAAGCGCACGUAGGCGGACUAUUAAGUCAGGGGUGAAAUCCCGGGGCUCAACCCCGGAACUGCCUUUGAUACUGGUAGUCUUGAGUUCGAGAGAGGUGAGUGGAAUUCCGAGUGUAGAGGUGAAAUUCGUAGAUAUUCGGAGGAACACCAGUGGCGAAGGCGGCUCACUGGCUCGAUACUGACGCUGAGGUGCGAAAGCGUGGGGAGCAAACAGG